rnacentral:rRNA from 1 species
UACAGAGGGUGCAAGCGUUAAUCGGAAUUACUGGGCGUAAAGCGUGCGCAGGCGGUUAUGCAAGACAGAUGUGAAAUCCCCGGGCUCAACCUGGGAACUGCAUUUGUGACUGCAUGGCUGGAGUGCGGCAGAGGGGGAUGGAAUUCCGCGUGUAGCAGUGAAAUGCGUAGAUAUGCGGAGGAACACCGAUGGCGAAGGCAAUCCCCUGGGCCUGCACUGACGCUCAUGCACGAAAGCGUGGGGAGCAAACAGG